CCUACGGGACGCAGCAGUGGGGGAUAUUGCACAAUGGGGGGAACCCUGAUGCAGCGACGCCGCGUGGGUGAAGGAGCGUUUCGGCGCGUAAAGCCCUAUCGGCAGGGAAGAAGAUGACGGUACCUGACCAAGAAGCCCCGGCUAACUACGUGCCAGCAGCCGCGGUAAUACGUAGGAUGCGAGCGUUAUCCGGAUUUAUUGGGUUUAAAGGGUGCGUAGGCGGUCCGUUAAGUCAGCGGUAAAAUUGCGGGGCUCAACCCCGUCGAGCCGUUGAAACUGGCAGAAUUG
rnacentral:rRNA from 1 species